AGAGGUGCCGGUGGCUCAAUGGUAGAGCAUCAGCUUUGGAUGCAAAAGGCCCCGGGUUCAGUUCCCAGCACUUCCA
rnacentral:tRNA from 1 species